rnacentral:rRNA from 1 species
AGAGUUUGAUCAUGGCUCAGGACGAACGCUGGCGGCGCGCCUAACACAUGCAAGUCGAACGGAGCUGAGAGGAGCUUGCUUUUCUUAGCUUAGUGGCGAACGGGUGAGUAACGCGUGAGUAACCUGCCCUGGAGUGGGGGACAACAGUUGGAAACGACUGCUAAUACCGCAUAAGCCCACGGAUCCGCAUGGAUCUGCGGGAAAAGGAUUUAUUCGCUUCAGGAUGGACUCGCGUCCAAUUAGCUAGUUGGUGAGGUAACGGCCCACCAAGGCGACGAUUGGUAGCCGGACUGAGAGGUUGAACGGCCACAUUGGGACUGAGACACGGCCCAGACUCCUACGGGAGGCAGCAGUGGGGGAUAUUGCACAAUGGGGGAAACCCUGAUGCAGCGACGCCGCGUGGAGGAAGAAGGUUUUCGGAUUGUAAACUCCUGUCGUUAGGGACGAUAAUGACGGUACCUAACAAGAAAGCACCGGCUAACUACGUGCCAGCAGCCGCGGUAAAACGUAGGGUGCAAGCGUUGUCCGGAAUUACUGGGUGUAAAGGGAGCGCAGGCGGACCGGCAAGUUGGAAGUGAAAACUAUGGGCUCAACCCAUAAAUUGCUUUCAAAACUGCUGGCCUUGAGUAGUGCAGAGGUAGGUGGAAUUCCCGGUGUAGCGGUGGAAUGCGUAGAUAUCGGGAGGAACACCAGUGGCGAAGGCGACCUACUGGGCACCAACUGACGCUGAGGCUCGAAAGCAUGGGUAGCAAACAGGAUUAGAUACCCUGGUAGUCCAUGCCGUAAACGAUGAUUACUAGGUGUUGGAGGAUUGACCCCUUCAGUGCCGCAGUUAACACAAUAAGUAAUCCACCUGGGGAGUACGACCGCAAGGUUGAAACUCAAAGGAAUUGACGGGGGCCCGCACAAGCAGUGGAGUAUGUGGUUUAAUUCGAAGCAACGCGAAGAACCUUACCAAGCCUUGACAUCCCAUUGACAGAGCAUGUAAUGUGCUUUCCCUUCGGGGCAGUGGUGACAGGUGGUGCAUGGUUGUCGUCAGCUCGUGUCGUGAGAUGUUGGGUUAAGUCCCGCAACGAGCGCAACCCCUAUCUUCAGUAGCCAGCGGUUUGGCCGGGCACUCUGGAGAGACUGCCAGGGAUAACCUGGAGGAAGGUGGGGAUGACGUCAAAUCAUCAUGCCCCUUAUGGCUUGGGCUACACACGUGCUACAAUGGCGUAAACAAAGGGAAGCGAGCCUGCGAGGGGGAGCAAAUCCCAAAAAUAACGUCUCAGUUCGGAUUGUAGUCUGCAACUCGACUACAUGAAGCUGGAAUCGCUAGUAAUCGCGAAUCAGAAUGUCGCGGUGAAUACGUUCCCGGGUCUUGUACACACCGCCCGUCACACCAUGGGAGUCGGCAACGCCCGAAGCCAGUGACCCAACCGAAAGGAGGGAGCUGUCGAAGGCGGGGCCGGUAACUGGGGUGAAGUCGUAACAAGGUA